CGGGGUUGUGGGAGUGUGACGUUCUGGGGCUACCACCCCGGUGCACAGUAAGAAAUCUUGCGUGUAGGUGAAAGGUCUGGAAAGGCCUGGCGGAGACGGUGAGACCCCGGUAGCCGAAACACGUGUGACUGUGUGUGAUGCCACCCGAGUAGUACGGGGCCCGAGAAAUCCCGUACGAAUCUGGCAGGACCACCUGCUAAGCCUAAAUAUUACCUAGUGACCGAUAGCGGACAAGUACCGUGAGGGAAAG
rnacentral:rRNA from 1 species